GUCAGGAUCCUUGCUCCUAAAGGUGAAGUUGCCAAAAAAGAGCUCUCUGGCCAAGCACUGUGCAGGGUGCUAGGAACACGCUGAUUCCGGUUUUGAAGCAAUCCACAGCCUAGUAAGCCAGAUACACAAACCAGCGAUUGCACUACAGUGAAGUAAGAGGGCUAUUAGGAGGAAUAGGACUCUGAUCUCCUCUGGGUUUUAGUGGAGCAGACAGCCCCACAGAUUCACUCGAACCUAAGCAUGGCCUUGUAGCUAAGUUUUGGCCAAUGUGGCAACUUCCAGAAUAUGUUUUUUAAAAAGGAAUUUGCUUGCCCUCCACUCCCUCUCUUGCCUUCCUGUGGGCUGGAAUACUUGGGUGUGGAGUGAGCCAGUUUUGACCACACAGAUGAACACAACAUCCUUGGAGAUGGAAGACCAACGUGAAGGAAGGAGUCUGCAUCUUCAAAUGGCCUGGUGGAGAAGACGCCUUGCCCCCCUGCUCCUGGACUAGUUCAUAAAGUGAAACAAACAAACUCUUCUUCCUUUUUUAAGCUACAACAUUU
rnacentral:lncRNA from 1 species